rnacentral:lncRNA from 1 species
CUGUCCCCUGAGCCAUUUGGGACUUAAUUUACCAAAUUCUUUUAUCAAUUCCCAAAUAUUUUACAAAUUGUGAUACUGAAAUUCUGGAGGAAGAAGCUGGGCUAGUUUGUGCACAGAGAACCAGAGCAUUCACAUCAACAUCCAGCAUGCAUUUGAGUGGAGGAAGCAGUGUGAUCCAUGUCCUCUGAAAGUGGCCCCUUUCAGGCACACAGGACUGUGGAGGACAGACACUGCACUAACUGAAGAUAAGAAAUGCUACAGUAGAGUGUGACAG